rnacentral:rRNA from 1 species
UACGAGUGCCCCAAGCGUUAUCCGGAAUUAUUGGGCGUAAAAGGGUGUGUAGGUGGUUUUGUUAGUCUUCUGUUAAAGCUCCCGGCUUAACCGGGAAAGUGCAGAGGAAACGGCAAGACUAGAGGAUGUGAGGGGUCUAUGGAACUCAUGGUGUAGGGGUGAAAUCCGUUGAUAUCAUGGGGAACACCAAAAAGCGAAGGCAAUAGACUGGCGCAUUCCUGACACUGAAACACGAAAGCGUGGGUAGCGAAUGGG